CACAAUUCUUGUUUGGGAAAACAUCACAAUAUUUGUAUGAUGAGAAAUAUCACACAAUUCUUAUUUGGGGAAAUUUUCCUUCUAUUUAAGAAGGAAAUUAUUGUCAAUUGGGGACACACAAUUCUAGAGGAAAUGAUGAUUUUCUUUUCUACUUUGUCAUUAGAGGUGAUAGUAUUCUAUUUCUCUUGAAACAAGGGGGAGGGGGAAUGCAACCAUAUUCUCUUUCUUUCAAUUUUUGGAUGUGAGAGAACAGGUAGAGGAGGAAACUCCCAUUUCAAUUUAGAGAUGAAUAUCCAUCCAAGCGUUAUCAGACAGGGAGGAGAUAAGAGCAGUGGCUUUGAUUCUCAAAUGGGAGGUAACAAAGAGAAUGGAGGCGCAAGGGGGUUGACACUCCACUGUGCGGGUGGAGUUGAGGAGCAUACAGAUUGCAGGAUAUAUAAAUUGAGCCACAUAUUGAGUCAAAUUCUAAUUAAAUAUUUUGAUAAUAUGGAGGUCUCUACACAAAUGAAUUACACAGAGAUGGAUCCAUGCUGCUUUUCCCCCUACAACAUUUGGAAUGAGAUGAUUGCCAAACUUGAUUCAGGCAUAUAUUCCUACAAGCUUGCUGAAGGGCUAAAUCAACAAGAUGAAAAUUCUACACUACAUCAUCGCAUUCAACAUGAAUAGGACACUAUGAAGUCAUGAUUCUGCUAUGUAGAGAUCAUCGACCCUGCCAUAAGUUUGAAGAAGAACUAUCAUGUUAUCAGCAGAUUAUUUCACAUUUGUCAUUAUUAAGUCCCAUUGUUGAUGUUGCAAUGGAUAUUUUAGAGAAGGAUGGCAGCCAUAUCAUGUUCUUAUUAUUAUUAUUGAUAGACAGAGAUACUAAUGCUUAUGGAAGAAUUGGAAAAGAUGCACAGGCUCUUUGGCAAGAUUCCCUUAAAGAAAUAUAGUCUCAUCCAAUGCCACACUCGCAUAAUGGAUUUUGUUAAAGAGGCUUUUGAAAUGUUUACUAUUAUUCCCAAUUUAGGUUAUAUAACUACUGAUGGUACCAUAGAAAAAUCAUUUAAAGGUGAAGAUAGAGGGCAAAUGGUGGAUUUUUGGAUUGCUUAAAGUAACCAACAAGUUCCACUCCACCUCCUCACUAUAAGGCCAAAGAGACCACUUCAUGUUCAUAUUAGGUGUGGAUGAUACUAUGUCAAAUAUUUUCAAGGCGAAGGGUUAGAGUUAGUUGGUACAAAAGAUAAUCAAAGCUUGCUAAAACUUUCAAAGUUA